rnacentral:rRNA from 1 species
CAGUCGCCACGGUAAUACAGAGGGUGCGAGCGUUAAUCGGAUUUACUGGGCGUAAAGCGUGCGUAGGCGGCUAAUUGAGUCGGAUGUGAAAUCCCCGAGCUUAACUUGGGAAUUGCAUUCGAUACUGGUUAGCUAGAGUGUGGGAGAGGAUGGUAGAAUUCCAGGUGUAGCGGUGAAAUGCGUAGAGAUCUGGAGGAAUACCGAUGGCGAAGGCAGCCAUCUGGCCUAACACUGACGCUGAGGUACGAAAGCAUGGGGAGCAAACAGGAUUAGAUACCCCAGUAGCCCUGUCUCUUAUACA